GACGAACGCUGGCGGCGUGCUUAACACAUGCAAGUCGAACGAUGACGACCGAGCUUGCUCGGUCUGGUUAGUGGCGAACGGGUGAGUAACACGUGAGCAACCUGCCCUUCACUCUGGGAUAACCUCGGGAAAUCGGGGCUAAUACCGGAUAUGAGCUCCUGUCGCAUGGCGGGUGUUGGAAAGUUUUUCGGUGAAGGAUGGGCUCGCGGCCUAUCAGUUUGUUGGUGAGGUAGUGGCUCACCAAGGCGAUGACGGGUAGCCGGCCUGAGAGGGCGACCGGCCACACUGGGACUGAGACACGGCCCAGACUCCUACGGGAGGCAGCAGUGGGGAAUAUUGCACAAUGGGCGAAAGCCUGAUGCAGCGACGCCGCGUGAGGGAUGACGGCCUUCGGGUUGUAAACCUCUUUCAGCAGGGAAGAAGCGAAAGUGACGGUACCUGCAGAAGAAGCGCCGGCUAACUACGUG
rnacentral:rRNA from 1 species